AGGACGAACGCUGGCGGCGUGCUUAACACAUGCAAGUCGAGCGGAAAGGCCCUUCGGGGUACUCGAGCGGCGAACGGGUGAGUAACACGUGAGCAACCUGCCCUUAGCUUCGGGAUAGCUCCGGGAAACCGAAAUUAAUACCGAAUAUGACUGCGGCUGACAUCAGCCACGGUGGAAAGUUUUUCGGCUAGGGAUGGACUCGCGGCCUAUCAGUUAGUUGGUGAGGUAACGGCCCACAAGGCGACGACGGGUA
rnacentral:rRNA from 1 species